AAUCCGAGAAAUGUAAUUGAU
rnacentral:misc_RNA from 1 species